UACGAAGGGGGCUAGCGUUGCUCGGAAUCACUGGGCGUAAAGGGUGCGUAGGCGGGUCUUUAAGUCAGGGGUGAAAUCCUGGAGCUCAACUCCAGAACUGCCUUUGAUACUGAAGAUCUUGAGUUCGGGAGAGGUGAGUGGAACUGCGAGUGUAGAGGUGAAAUUCGUAGAUAUUCGCAAGAACACCAGUGGCGAAGGCGGCGAUCUGGGAAGAUACUGACGCUGAGGUGCGAAAGCAUGGGGAGCAAACAGG
rnacentral:rRNA from 1 species